AUGCUCGUCUUCUUCCUUGCCCCGGCCUUCCCGCUUUGGUCGCGGCCGGGCGAUUGGCAUUGCUUCGCCAUCCACGGCAUAGGGUACCUCUACUCAGCGGUGAUGAUCAAUCUACUCAUCAUCAAGCGCCGGGGGCAGAAGAAGACCUGGGAACUGGAAAACGGUUGUGUUGAAGAAUUGGCCACCGAGCCACAGAUGCAGUUGACGUCCAUACUGAUGUUGGCGGCAACCGCGGUCACCUUGAUCUCCUUGGGGCUGAUGGUCUUGGUCUUCCGGCCUAAUUGGCAUCACUUGGCCUUAAUCGCGUUGUUAGUCUCGCUGUCUACUUCAUUGAUGGUUUUAAUCCUGCCUGUUCCAGAAUUUGAGUGGGAACGAGCGCUUGUUUAUGAAAAGAUGCAAAGUUUAGUCUGA
rnacentral:rRNA from 1 species